GAUGAACGCUGGCGGCGUGCCUAAUACAUGCAAGUCGAGCGAACAGACGAGGAGCUUGCUCCUCUGACGUUAGCGGCGGACGGGUGAGUAACACGUGGAUAACCUACCUAUAAGACUGGGAUAACUUCGGGAAACAGGAGCUAAUACCGGAUAAUAUAUUGAACCGCAUGGUUCAAUAGUAAAAGACGGUUUUGCUGUCACUUAUAGCUGGAUCCGCGCCGCAUUAGCUAGUUGGUAAGGUAACGGCUUACCAAGGCAACGAUGCGUAGCCGACCUGAGAGGGUGAUCGGCCACACUGGAACUGAGACACGGUCCAGACUCCUACGGGAGGCAGCAGUAGGGAAUCUUCCGCAAUGGGCGAAAGCCUGACGGAGCAACGCCGCGUGAGUGAUGAAGGUCUUCGGAUCGUAAAACUCUGUUAUUAGGGAAGAACAAAUGUGUAAGUAACUAUGCACGUCUUGACGGUACCUAAUCAGAAAGCCACGGCUAACUACGUG
rnacentral:rRNA from 1 species